GGGCCGGGAAGUAUGGCGGCCGCUCGAACGCCGCGCGGCGGAGGCCAUUAAGGCGUGGACGGCCCGGAAGGCGGCCUAGGGACGCAAGCAGGCUUGGCCGCCUCUUUCGGCCACGGAGCCGCGCAGAUCCGGUUCCCGGGUGACCACUCUGUCGCCAUUGGGCGAGACCUACCUAGUCCUGACGACAACGGACAAAGGCCUUAAGGGGCCUGAAAGCAACCUCCAGUCCUGCAAGCUUCAUUCCUGAAUGGUAGAAAGCAGUCUUCAGCCUGAGACCCAUCCCUAGACUCUAUGGCACAAAGAGGCACUACAGAAAAUCCCAGAAUUUAUUCUGACUGAAGCAAUAUGCAACUGGCAAAACUGGCAGCUGAAAGGAUCCUGAAUAAGAAGGAUUUUAAAUGCCGUUUUGGCACAGGAUGUCAGAGCACAAGCAUGGUGAAGAGGAAUCUGUGUCAGGAAGAAGGUGGAAGAGAUAUGACAUUGGUCAAACAGAGAAUUGAUAAAAUAAGAAAACAAGUUGAAAAACUAAAACAAAACCAGGUGCCAAAUUUCUCAAAGCCAGAGAAUGGAUUAAAAAUAUGGAAUGGAAAUAAACAAGUAUGAAGCCUGAUGAUUAAACUGGAUGUAUCAGUAAUGAAAUCAUGGAAUCUAAAAAAAAUCAAUAUAAAUGUAUGUAUGCAUAUAUGGAGAGAGAGAGACAGAGAAACAGACAGAGGGAGAGGCCAAGCAACUGGUACAAGUGAUACCCUAAUCGCAAUGAGGACACUGAACCCCCAGAUCUUGGUUCUCAAUAACAUGCUCCAUUGAAAAGAAUGAGGCCUGAUUCUGGAGCUGGUGCAGAAAAAUUACAAGAUGAUCCUGGAAUAUAUAUUGUUAAAAAUUAAGACAAUGUUGAAAGGAUAAUAAGGUCAUCCUGAAAGAUUAAAUUGUUGUCAGUUUGAGAAUUUAAAUAAUUAAUGGCAAAAUGGAUUACUACUCAUUGAAUCAAAGAGAAAAACAUGAGCCCAUAUUGUUAUAAAUACGUAAAUGCAUAUAUUGAAAGCUUAAUUAGAAACAUAGUUUCAAAAUAAACUCCCCUAAAAUACCUAAGAAUGGUAAAUUUGUAGAGUGUUUCUUUCUUUAUAGUAGAGGAGCCAAGCAUGCUUUACCUUAAUCAAGUGAUCAGUGUGAAUAUCAUCAGGACAAAUCAAAAACAUGCAUCACCUGAGAGCUUGUAAAGAGAGCACAGCAUCUCUUUGUGAUAUUUUCACUAAACGUGCACACCUUGAGUCUAACCGUGAGAAAGGAGCAGACAAAUACAAAUUGAGGGAUAUACUAUAAAGUAACAGACUUAUAAUCAUCAAAGUGUGAAGGUCACAUAUGUCCAAACAAAAGGUAGAAAAUGUUCUGUACUGGAAGAGCAUAAACAGAUAUGUCAACUGUAUGGAAUGUUUCACUGUAAAGUGAAUCCUGUUGCUAGGAAGGACGUUAUUGAGAUAGCCAGUGAAACUUAAAUAGGGUCUAGGGAG
rnacentral:lncRNA from 1 species